rnacentral:rRNA from 1 species
UUUGAUCAUGGCUCAGGACGAACGCUGGCGGCGUGCCUAAUACAUGCAAGUAGAACGCUGAAGAGAGGAGCUUGCUCUUCUUGGAUGAGUUGCGAACGGGUGAGUAACGCGUAGGUAACCUGCCUUGUAGCGGGGGAUAACUAUUGGAAACGAUAGCUAAUACCGCAUAACAAUGGAUGACACAUGUCAUUUAUUUGAAAGGGGCAAUUGCUCCACUACAAGAUGGACCUGCGUUGUAUUAGCUAGUAGGUGAGGUAACGGCUCACCUAGGCGACGAUACAUAGCCGACCUGAGAGGGUGAUCGGCCACACUGGGACUGAGACACGGCCCAGACUCCUACGGGAGGCAGCAGUAGGGAAUCUUCGGCAAUGGGGGCAACCCUGACCGAGCAACGCCGCGUGAGUGAAGAAGGUUUUCGGAUCGUAAAGCUCUGUUGUAAGUCAAGAACGAGUGUGAGAGUGGAAAGUUCACACUGUGACGGUAGCUUACCAGAAAGGGACGGCUAACUACGUGCCAGCAGCCGCGGUAAUACGUAGGUCCCGAGCGUUGUCCGGAUUUAUUGGGCGUAAAGCGAGCGCAGGCGGUUUGAUAAGUCUGAAGUUAAAGGCUGUGGCUCAACCAUAGUUCGCUUUGGAAACUGUCAAACUUGAGUGCAGAAGGGGAGAGUGGAAUUCCAUGUGUAGCGGUGAAAUGCGUAGAUAUAUGGAGGAACACCGGUGGCGAAAGCGGCUCUCUGGUCUGUAACUGACGCUGAGGCUCGAAAGCGUGGGGAGCGAACAGGAUUAGAUACCCUGGUAGUCCACGCCGUAAACGAUGAGUGCUAGGUGUUGGAUCCUUUCCGGGAUUCAGUGCCGCAGCUAACGCAUUAAGCACUCCGCCUGGGGAGUACGACCGCAAGGUUGAAACUCAAAGGAAUUGACGGGGGCCCGCACAAGCGGUGGAGCAUGUGGUUUAAUUCGAAGCAACGCGAAGAACCUUACCAGGUCUUGACAUCCCGAUGCUAUUUCUAGAGAUAGAAAGUUACUUCGGUACAUCGGUGACAGGUGGUGCAUGGUUGUCGUCAGCUCGUGUCGUGAGAUGUUGGGUUAAGUCCCGCAACGAGCGCAACCCCUAUUGUUAGUUGCCAUCAUUCAGUUGGGCACUCUAGCGAGACUGCCGGUAAUAAACCGGAGGAAGGUGGGGAUGACGUCAAAUCAUCAUGCCCCUUAUGACCUGGGCUACACACGUGCUACAAUGGUUGGUACAACGAGUUGCGAGUCGGUGACGGCAAGCUAAUCUCUUAAAGCCAAUCUCAGUUCGGAUUGUAGGCUGCAACUCGCCUACAUGAAGUCGGAAUCGCUAGUAAUCGCGGAUCAGCACGCCGCGGUGAAUACGUUCCCGGGCCUUGCACACACCGCCCGUC